UAAAACCAGCUUGAACAUCUGGAAGUUCACAGUUCACGUAUUGCUGAAGUUUGAUCAUCCUAAAAAGGUUUUUGGGCCCACCAUCUAUCUGGACUCCAGCCUCAUAGACCCCCUAUCUCCCACCAACUUGUGAUCUCCCCUUGGUUGCCUGGAUCUUGCUGCCCUGUCAGCGGCCCCUCCUGGUUGGAAGGCUCAGGCUCCCCCUCUUCCAGCAGAAUCUCCUCACUAAGCUCCCUCCUUGGGUGGGGGCCAGAUUCCCUAGGUGCCCUUCCAUUCCCUCUGGGCCCUGGUCCCUUCCUUUCCUUCUGGGUCCCUAGGGCCCAUGCUGAGAGCAACGUCCAUGACUGAGCCACUGGUGGAAAGCACUGAUCUUGGGAAAAAAGGCUCUUUGUGACUCUUGGGCAUUGCUGUGGCUCCUAUCAGCUGUGAAAAAAAUCAAAGCACCUGUGUGCCUAGCCUAGAAUUAGCCAAUUCCCCCUAACUGCCUAAAGAACUCACCUGAGCAGAAAGGGUACUAUCACCAUAGAUGACUAGGGUGUGAACUAGGUGUGUAGACAGGGAAGAAUGCAGCAAAGUGUGUUUGUUAGAAUUCCUCUCUGUGUCCCAUUGUCUCUGCAGGCCCAGCAAACAUUUGUUUACCAAUAACUCGCUUUUCCUUGGUUGCCUUCCUCCCUUUGGAGGUUUCAAAUCACUACCCCAAACAUCCUCUCUUGUCUUUAGGUGAAGAUGUUAUUUAAGGUGAGGGUUCAGCAAGUUACUCAGUUUUCCUUGAUCUCUCCUAUGAAUACACGUUAUUAAAAAUUUGCUUGAUUUUCUCCUGUUAAUCUGUCUCAUAUCAAGUUCAUUCUUAGACCAACCAGAACUUACAAGGGUAGAGGAAAAUGUCUUCCUCCCCAACAUUUACCUUGGGGUAAAUGAAACAUCAAACCUGCCUGGAAGUGAUGCAGUCUAGUGAAGAAAGACAGACAGACGCUCAGCAGCCAUAGAUGUCCUUACCAGAAGACAGUGAGGGGAUCCUCUCCAGCAUUAGGAUCAGCAGCCUAAUUCCCCAGGCGAAUCACCCUUGGAAUAGAACAUGGGGGUCCCAAACUGCUACCAGGAUGGAGCAUCUCCUGGGGAGGGUGCUAGAGGGCAGAGGGCAGACCUCCCAGAGGGUGGGGAAAUGGUACCUAAAGGAAGACAGACUUGGUGCCACCUCCCACCUAGGUCUCUGGGCUUUUGUGGUAUAAAUGGAUGCAAAGAAGAAAUGGACACGUUAAGAGUGGCUGGACUUGAUUUAUAUUGAAAAGGACAGGAAAUGAGCUGGUUGAGAGUGUGAGGAGGACUGAGCUGUGGUAGACACAGUCAUCAGGCUGUCCUCUGUGCUAUCAUAUAAUC
rnacentral:lncRNA from 1 species